GAGUGGGGAGGAGAGAGGGACAGAGAGCCUGCUUGCUUUAAAGGAGCAAAGCAGGAGAGGAAAGGAGCUGCUUACACGAGUGUAAGCGGCUCCUGUCCGGUUGGCUCCUUUAAAGCAAGCAGGCUCUCUGUCCUCUCUCCUCCCCACUCAGC
rnacentral:miRNA from 1 species